rnacentral:ncRNA from 2 species
AUAGAAUAUGUCGUUUUGUAUCGUAUAAUAGCGGGAAUAGGGCCCGCAAGUCUCUACCAAGCUACCGUAAAUAGCUUGACUACGUGAAAAACGGGAAUUGUC